AAAUUGAAGAGUUUGAUCAUGGCUCAGAUUGAACGCUGGCGGCAGGCCUAACACAUGCAAGUCGAACGGUAACAGGAAACAGCUUGCUGUUUCGCUGACGAGUGGCGGACGGGUGAGUAAUGUCUGGGAAACUGCCCGAUGGAGGGGGAUAACUACUGGAAACGGUAGCUAAUACCGCAUAACGUCGCAAGACCAAAGAGGGGGACCUUCGGGCCUCUUGCCAUCGGAUGUGCCCAGAUGGGAUUAGCUAGUAGGUGGGGUAACGGCUCACCUAGGCGACGAUCCCUAGCUGGUCUGAGAGGAUGACCAGCCACACUGGAACUGAGACACGGUCCAGACUCCUACGGGAGGCAGCAGUGGGGAAUAUUGCACAAUGGGCGCAAGCCUGAUGCAGCCAUGCCGCGUGUAUGAAGAAGGCCUUCGGGUUGUAAAGUA
rnacentral:rRNA from 1 species